GGGCGGAGAGGCCGGGGAGUGGGGAGCUUUACCUUCGCUGGCUGCGGGGCUGGCUGCGCUGUUGGCUUUGGGCACCUGGAGAGCUCCCCGACGCCUACCUUUUUACCAGCCGCGCCGUGGGGGCUACCCGGCUUUGCCUUUCUUGACUAGGUCCGCGCUGUCAGGCUCCGGCCCCAGAGUAUCUUCCUUUGACAUAGAAUUCAACUUGAAGCGGUUUUUUGUCCCCCUUUAUAGUUACGAAGAUUAGAUGAGAAAAUGUAAAGCACCCAGUGGAGUCCUCUAACUUUGAGCUACUCAACAAAAGCUUGUUUCUUGUCCUCUACUAAAGUAGUCUGAUUAGUCAUGGUCCCCCGACAGGGCUUGGAAGGACCUUGUUUUAACCCUGUCUCAUCCGUGGAGUGCUCUGCUCUCAUCCUUCAGGACUCAGUUCAAAUACCUUCUUUUCUAUGAAACCUUGCAUCUCUUCAUGAGCUCUUUUAUCUCUGAACUUCAGAUAACACGAUGGUGGGUGAAGAGAAGACGUCUCUAAGAAAACGGCUGUCAAAGUCCAGGGAAAAUUCAGAGGAAAAGCAAGACCAGAGAAGCCCUUCAAAGGAGUCCCUAGAGACACCUAGUAAUGGUGAGGCUUUUAAUUUUUUUUUUUUCCAGCUAUUUAAGUUUUAUUAACCUUACUCAGUAAAUAUGUAGGAUGUGGAGUAAUUUUUUAGUGAAGAUUGCGGAGGACACUGCGGAGGACAUGCUUCACUACUGUGGACUCGGGGACCUUGCUGGCAGGGGAUGACUUCUUAUCUGCUGCCUUGAUAACUCCAGGGACCGCCGUUUGUGUCAUGUCCUGCACAGCAAAAUGGCCUAGACGUGGUACUCAGAGAAGGUCUCCACACACGCAUGGCCUUGCUGGGGGCCGUCUGCACAGGGGCCUCAGGGCUUUGGGUUGUCCUCCAGCCUCGUGGCCGAGUGCUGGUCAGUGUUUUCCCUCCGUUCAGGGGAUGUGAGCCGUGUGGCAGUCCAGCACUGGGCCGUAGCCAGCGUGGGUCUGCCUGGGGUGGUUGAGGACCAUCACCUGUGCCAGAGCCCGGCCAGCCUCCGCAGUCGUUCCUGCUGUCUCCGGCCACUUCUCGGACACAUGCUUCAUGUCGGAGCCCACAUUGUCAACCAGGCGGGGCCUCCGACAGGUGUCGUGGGGCAUCUCCACAGACUUGAGCUCAGGUGACAUUGGUGGGGUUGAAGGUGACCACCAUCCCAGGUGCAGAGGCAGCCUCAGGGGCUUGUCGACUGGGUGGGAGGGUAGAGUCCAGAGACUUCCAGCAGAGUCACCCUGGUGACGUUUCAUUUGUCCUCUUGACCUUCCAGCCAGGCACAUUGUUGCUGUGCCAGCCUGAGAUGGGCACAAAGGCCACGGCGGCCAGGUUGUAGCCGAUCUUCUUCAGGCAGUUGCUCACUUCUUAGUGAUCUGGAAGUGCAUGGCGCUGAGGUAGGCUCGGCAACAUCGCUCUCGUUGACGGCCGCCAUGAGCUGCAAGCUGCUUCAGGCGCAGCGUGUAGGCCCCAGUGCGUGUUCGCAGGUGUGCCUUUCUUGGAGAUGCCGGCUUUGAACUUGAGCAUGCUGCUGCCAUGAUGAGCAUGGCACAGUUGGCCUCGGAUGUCCAGUGGUCACAUUCUUGAUGAAGUCCCCGGGGCCUGGGGCAUUGAUGAUGGUGAUGGCAUGGUGGCUAGUCUGACUUCCAUAGGGAGAUGGGAGUGGUGAUGCCACACUGUCCCUCCACCUUCAGCUUGUCCCGCACCUGGGCAUAUUUGAAGGAGCCCUUGCUCAUCACUCCUGCCUCCUCCUUGAACGUCUCAGUGGUUCUUUCAUCAGUGCUCCCCAGCUUGUAGAUGAGCUAGAUGCCUGGCGGGGGUGGACUUGCCAGAGUCCACGUGGCUAAGGACGACGAUAUUGAUAGGGUCUUUGCCCAUGCGAUAGGUUCAUUAGUCAGUGCUCUAAAGAAAAAGCAGCAAACUUGAUUCAGAGAUCAGUAAGAGCUAUAGCAGCUGUGAGAGAGACUUGUAAUUUUUUUUUUUAGAUGUUAUUUAUU